rnacentral:tRNA from 1 species
GGAGAGGUGCUAGAGUGGCCGAAUAGGCGCGCCUGGAGAGCGCGUGUUCCGGGUUACCGGAACCGUGGGUUCGAAUCCCACCCUCUCCG